UGUUCGUUAUUUAGGGCGCAUGGUGGAUGCCUUGGCAUGCUGAGCCGAUGAAGGACGUGAAAGGCUGCGUUAAGCCUCGGGGAGUUGUCAAUUGAGCGUUGAUCCGAGGAUGUCCGAAUGGGGAAACCUGGCACCUGUUAUGGGGUGUUACC
rnacentral:rRNA from 1 species